UACGAAGGGGGCUAGCGUUGCUCGGAAUCACUGGGCGUAAAGCGCACGUAGGCGGAUUGCUAAGUCAGGGGUGAAAUCCUGGAGCUCAACUCCAGAACUGCCUUUGAUACUGGCAACCUUGAGUCCGGGAGAGGUGAGUGGAACUGCGAGUGUAGUGGUGAAAUGCGUAGAUACGUCGGGAGGAACACCAGUGGCGAAAGCGGCUUCCUGGUCCAGCACCGACGUUCAGGCACGAAAGCGUGGGGGAGCAAACAGG
rnacentral:rRNA from 1 species